rnacentral:rRNA from 1 species
UACGUAGGGGGCAAGCGUUGUCCGGAAUCAUUGGACGUAAAGAGCGUGUAGGCGGCCAGAUAAGUCCGCUGUGAAAUCUCGAGGCUCAACUUCGAGCUGUCGGUGGAAACUGUCUGGCUAGAGUCCGGAAGAGGAGAAUGGAAUUCCUGGUGUAGCGGUGAAAUGCGCAGAUAUCAGGAAGAACACCCGUGGCGAAGGCGGUUCUCUGGGACGGUACUGACGCUGAGACGCGAAAGCGUGGGGAGCGAACAGG